rnacentral:rRNA from 1 species
CCUACGGGAGGCAGCAGUAAGGAAUAUUGGUCAAUGGAGGCAACUCUGAACCAGCCAUGCCGCGUACAGGAAGAAGGCCCUAUGGGUCGUAAACUGCUUUUGUACCAGAGAAAACCCGAGUACGUGUACUCGGUUGAUAGUAUGGUAAGAAUAAGCAUCGGCUAACUUCGUGCCAGCAGCCGCGGUAAGACGAAGGAUGCAAGCGUUAUCCGGAUUCAUUGGGUUUAAAGGGUGCGUAGGCGGACUGAUAAGUCAGUGGUGAAAUCUCUCAGCUUAACUGAGAAACUGCCAUUGAUACUGUUAGUCUAGAGUAUAGAUGACGUUGGCGGAAUAUGACAUGUAGUGGUGAAAUACUUAGAUAUGUCAUAGAACACCGAUUGCGAAGGCAGCUAACGAAACUAUAACUGACGCUGAGGCACGAAAGUGCGGGGAUCAAACAGGAUUAGAUACCCUGGUAGUCCGCACCGUAAACGAUGAUUACUCGUUGUUGGCAAAUAUGACCGUCAGCGACCAAGCGAAAGCGAUAAGUAAUCCACCUGGGGAGUACGCCGGCAACGGUGAAACUUAANAGAUGACGNNGAGAGNGCGAGAGACACGAGGAGAGG